UACGGGGGGGGUAAGCGUUGUUCGGAAUUACUGGGCGUAAAGGGCCAGUAGGCGGCCAACUAAGUCGGAUGUGAAAUCCCCAGGCUCAACCUGGGAACUGCAUCCGAUACUGGAUGGCUUGAAUUCGGGAGAGGGAUGCAGAAUUCCAGGUGUAGCGGUGAAAUGCGUAGAUAUCUGGAGGAAUACCGGUGGCGAAGGCGGCAUCCUGGACCGACAUUGACGCUGAACGGCGAAAGCUAGGGGAGCAAACGGG
rnacentral:rRNA from 1 species